GGUGGAGCGAUUUGUCUGGUUAAUUCCGAUAACGAACAAGACUCUAGCCUGCUAAAUAGUUCGCCGAUUGUCUAAUCUGUCGGCGUUAACUUCUUAGAGGGACAAGUGGCGUUUAGUCACACGAGAUUGAGCAAUAACAGGUCUGUGAUGCCCUUAGAUGUCCGGGGCUGCACGCGCGCUACACUGGCAAAAUCAACGUGCUUGUCCUUCCCCGAAAGGGGCGGGUAAACCAUUGAAAAUUUGCCGUGAUUGGGAUCGGAAACUGCAAUUAUUUCCCGUGAACGAGGAAUUCCAAGUAAGUGCGAGUCAUCAGCUCGCGUUGAUUACGUCCCUGCCCUUUGUAC
rnacentral:rRNA from 1 species